AACGGACGCUGGCGGCAGGCUUAACACAUGCAAGUCGAACGAGAUCUUCGGAUCUAGUGGCAGACGGGUGAGGAACACGUGGGAACAUCCCUUUCAGUUCGGAAUAACGUUGGGAAACUAACGCUAAUACCGGAUACGUCCUUCGGGAGAAAGAUUUAUCGCUGAAAGAUUGGCCCGCGUCUGAUUAGCUAGUUGGUGAGGUAACGGCUCACCAAGGCUAAGAUCAGUAGCUGAUCUGAGAGGAUGAUCAGCCACAUUGGGACUGAGACACGGACCAAACUCCUACGGGAGGCUGCAGUGGGGAAUAUUGGACAAUGGGCGCAAGCCUGAUCCAGCCAUGCCGCGUGAGUGAUGACGGCCUUCGGGUUGUAAAGCUCUUUUGUCCGGGAAGAUAAUGACUGUACCGGAAGAAUAAGCCCCGGCAAACUUCGUGCCAGCAGCCGCGGUAA
rnacentral:rRNA from 1 species